rnacentral:lncRNA from 1 species
AAAUGACUGUCUAUAGGGCAGCAAAAUCAUGUCGUUAUCAGUUUAAAGCAGUUGCUGCUUUACUCCUGGGGACAAAACAAGAAUUGGAGCCUCCUAAAACUCAUCAAACAAGAGCAAAUGAAAGCAACCCAGGAAUUAUGUGGUCUAUUCAAGCCUGCAAGGAGUACGAACAAAGAAUAUAAUUAUACAUCAAGCCUGUUGAUUAAACAAUUACUAUUUAAAGCAGAUAUAGAUUUAAAAUUAAUUUGCUUCUGCAUUCUGAGGAUUUGGGGACUGAGAUAAACAGUGUUUGAAGUUUAAUUAUCCGUGCGUAAGAUGAAGGGGCUCAUU